ACGGGAGGCAGCAGUGGGGAAUAUUGGGCAAUGGGCGAAAGCCUGACCCAGCAAUGCCGCGUGAAGGAAGAAGGUCUUCGGAUUGUAAACUUCUUUUAUGAGGGACGAAGGAAUUGACGGUACCUCAUGAAUAAGCCACGGCUAACUACGUGCCAGCAGCCGCGGUAAUACGUAGGUGGCAAGCGUUAUCCGGAUUUACUGGGUGUAAAGGGCGCGUAGGCGGGGAAGCAAGUCAGAUGUGAAAUCUAUGGGCUUAACUCAUAAACUGCAUUUGAAACUGUUUCUCUUGAGUGCUGGAGAGGUAGAUGGAAUUCCUAGUGUAGCGGUGAAAUGCGUAGAUAUUAGGAAGAACACCAGUGGCGAAGGCGAUCUACUGGACAGUAACUGACGCUGAGGCGCGAAAGCGUGGGGAGCGAACAGGAUUAGAUACCCUGGUA
rnacentral:rRNA from 1 species